CAACGGUUGAGCAUCGGCAAUGCACACCGAAAGUUUGAGGAUCGAGCCCCGAACGAGUUAAAUAAAAUUCUGUGAAACUACUUCAAUACGCCGGAUAAUCCAAUAUAUACAAAGAUUAAAUACAAAAUUAUUCUGCAGAAUUGAGAUGUCAUCGGCAAUAAUUCAAAGGCAAUCCGGGAACGCAGUACAAGAACUGCACAUCAGUGGCCAUCUCAGCAGUGUUUAGAGUCCAAUCCUUAAAA